rnacentral:misc_RNA from 1 species
UAAACUCAAUCAUUUGUUUUGAGAGUUGUGCCGUCAUAUUGUGUUUUAAACACCCACAUAUAUAAAAUAUACAUACAUUUAAUCAUAUUUAUUGAAGGGUGAAUACAUAAUUAUGACAGUGAUGUAAGGAAGUCAAAAGUCAAAAGUCUUAUUUGACAAAAAUUCAUGAAAAAAUAAAAUUUGCAGGUUGUUAAAUUAAAAAAUUAAUGUAUGAUAGUGAUAGAAACUAACAAUAGUUACAUAUAAACCUGAUACUGUAACUACAAUUAUGGCAGCAAUAAGACAUACGUUACAAAGAGAGGUGUUUACACCCAGUGAUGAGAAGUUACUAAGCAUAUGUUAUGUCAGUAAAGCAUACAAAAAGAAAAAAAUGAGCUUUUUAUGCUUAACUACAACUACAGAUACACCUUCAUCUUUACUUUUGUAUCAAGUUAAGAAAAAUGAUAAGAAUGUGUUUAAGAAAAAGCAAUCAUGGUCAUUAAAUGACAUUCAAACUGUGGAUGGAGUUAAAAAUGAUUCUAUGGAUAUAGAAUUACACAUUGACAAAGUGUAUAAAUGGUCAGCAACAGCAGCACAAGAGCGAAGAACAUUUAUAAGCAAUUUAUAUACUUAUUCUUGUAAUUUAGAACAAAGACCCCAAUUUAAAAAUAUUCCAAAAGAAUGGCUUAUAGAUCCUAGUUCACUGAAAGAAAGUGACAGUAUUACUUUCACACCAGAGCUUCUUACAUCACCUAUUUCAUCAAGUUAUCAACCUAUUACUGAAAAAGAAGCUAUUGAUUUGAAACAAAUGAUGGAAAACUGUGAAUAUGCAGUGUCUAAUGCUGAAUUAUUUAUGGAAAACCUAUCUAAGGACCUAUCAAUUCUUGAUGGGGAAAAUGUCCAAUCAGUUUUGGCAUCGGAAACACAUGUAACUCAACUGAUGAAUAGCAUAGAAGAAGCAAUAAUAGAAGCAUCAAUUGUUGAAGCUCGUCUUGCAAAUUAUGAUGAAGCGCUUGGUAGAAUUAGAGAAGUUAUGGCUCGUGUGGGUCAAAAAAAUCAAGCUAUUCAUACAGCUAACAGUAAUGCAAGACUUCUAUUAGAUCAAUUAAAUACAGUAAUUUCGCAAUUAGAUAUUUCACCAACACAUCAGCAUUCUUUAAGUGAGGCUGAACUGCCAGGAGAUAAAGAAGAGCUUAGUCAAGCAGGUGCUGCUCUUUUAAAAGCAAUAACAGCUCCUUUACCACCAGGACUUGACAAGCUGAGUGCUGUGACUGAACAAAAAAGGCGUCUUGAUAAACUUAGAGCAAAAUUUUCCAUAAUUGUUGCCAGGCAUCUAAAUAACCUCUUCAUACAUUUGGGUAAUGAUGUUGGAGAUGUAUCAAUGUCAGUGACAGAUUUAAUUCUUCCAACACAUCAAACAGUUCAUCAUGAACUUGAACCAUACACUGAAUUGAUGCAAUUGCUAAAAGCAUUAGAUAAUAAGGCCUUUGUGCAAUUAACCAAGGUUUAUACAGAUACAAUGAGUAAGUUGUAUAAAAGAGAUUUAAAACGAUUCUUUGAAGAAGCCAAAAACAAACUUAUUUGCAAACGUUUUCCAGCAAACACAUCAAAAUCUAGUGGCCAGAAAGCAGAAGAUUUAUUAAACCCAGCACCCAUUUGUUUAUUAAGUGGCGAAACAUGGGCACCUGUAGGAGAAGGGAAUCUUUUGGAUUCAGUUUUGGAUUGUAUGCUGUCACAGAUGCAACCAGUUUGUCUUGCUGAACAAGCUUUUUGUAUUUUAUUUUUGCAAUUAGAUUCUGUUCUUUCCCCAUCAAAAAGCAGUGAAAUGGAAGAAGCAGAUAAUAUUAGUAAUGGAGCUGCAAGUCCUGAAUCAGUAACAUCUACAGCAAGUAAAAAGUUAGAAAGACAAGUUAAUGAAGAAGUACGUGCAACAAUGGCAGCUAUAUUUCCAUCAUUAGAAACUGAAUUAAAUAAUUUUAUUAAUUUUCUAGAUAAAAUUGAUAGUUUUUGGUGUAUGUACGUACUGGUACGCUUAUCACAACAUGUUAUGUCAGCACAAGAUACUGGUUCCUUUUUAUCUAUGACAUUUGCUUCUGCUUUAAUUCAAGUUAAAAGAGCAUUUGACAAAUUUAUGCAAGCACAGUUACAAUCAAUUUUGUGUGAUACAAAAGUUAAUCGUAGAAAUAAAUGUGGUAUAUUGCCAUAUGUAGAAAAUUUUGAACCAUUUGCAAGAACGGCAGAAAAAAUCUUUAAGAAUUCGGAUAGAAAAGUUGAUCUUGAGAAAUGGUAUACAAAAUUAGUGAGUACGAUGUUUGAGGCUAUUGUUAUUCAUAGUAGAGAUCAUCAUAAAACUCCACAAGAAGUUAUUAAAAUGGAAAAUUUUCAUCAUUUAUAUGAUCUUUUAUCACAAUUGAAAAUAUCUGUUCUUGAUCAUGAAAGAAAAGAAGCAAAACAAAAAUAUCAAGACGCUCUACGUGCGUAUGUUACACAAUAUUUUGGAAGACCUCUGGAAAAGCUUAAUGCGUACAAGCCAAAGUUGGUGCUGGAGUUAAAGAAUCUGAAGUCAGUUAUCAAAUGGCUUUUAGUAAGCAAGAACUGAGACGUGUUGUAAAAGAAUAUCCUGCACGAGAAGUUAAAAAGGGCCUGGAAAAUUUGUACAGAAAAGUUGAAAAACAUCUGUGCGAGGAGGAAAAUUUAUUACAAGUUGUUUGGCGUGAAAUGCAAGGUGAAUUUAUUGCACAGUAUAUAUACAUAGAAGAAUUAAUUCAAAGAUGUUACCCAGAUAGUAUGGUAACACUUGAAUUUACUAUUCAGGACAUUUUAGAAUUUUUCUCGGAAAUAGCAC